rnacentral:pre_miRNA from 1 species
CGGGGGAGGCCGGCUCCCGGGCUGUGUCCCGGCGCCCUGUGCCCGGGGGCCUGGGCUGUUGGAUUCACCGCUCCCUCCCCGCAGCCCCCU